rnacentral:rRNA from 1 species
GAACGGCAGCACGGGUAGCAAUACCUGGUGGCGAGUGGCGCACGGGUGCGUAACGCGUAUGCAACCUACCUAUAACUGGGGAAUAGCCUUCUGAAAGGAAGAUUAACACCGCAUAAUAUCACUGAGCGGCAUCACUUGGUGAUCAAAUCUCCGGAGGUUAUAGAUGGGCAUGCGUGACAUUAGCUAGUUGGUGAGGUAACGGCUCACCAAGGCUACGAUGUCUAGGGGGUCUGAGAGGAUGAUCCCCCACACUGGUACUGAGACACGGACCAGACUCCUACGGGAGGCA